GACGAAUCGUGCGAACGUUGUUCGGAAUCACUGGGCUUAAAGGGCGCGUAGGCGGGCGGUCAAGUCAGAGGUGAAAUCCCACGGCUCAACCGUGGAAGUGCCCCUGAUACUGAUCGUCUCGAGGGAGGUAGGGGCGUGCGGAACUUCCGGUGGAGCGGUGAAAUGCGUAGAUAUCGGAAGGAACACCGAUGGCGAAAGCAGCGCGCUGGACCUCUACUGACGCUGAGGCGCGAAAGCCAGGGGAGCAAACGGG
rnacentral:rRNA from 1 species